GGGCGUGUAGCUCAAUGGUUAGAGCCGGCCGCUCAUAACGGUCUGGUUGCAGGUUCGAGUCCUGCCACGCCUACCA
rnacentral:tRNA from 1 species